UGAUAAUGGAAAUUUAGAAAAUAAAACGUUUAUUUUAGUGUGAUUUUCGUGAUUUUUUUAGUGAAAAGUGACACAAAAUAUGGAUUAUGAGAGCGUAGUCUACAAUGCUGCCCGUGAUGGCAACCUAAACAGGCUUAAGGGCCCAGCAUAAUUUUUCAAAUGUGCAAUGUUUUGCGGACCCUGAAUUGUAAAAUUCAUUAUGGACCCUAACCAAGGCAAUUAUGAAUAAACUAGCCACAACAGAAAGAGCAAUGUUAGGUAUACGACUGUCAUACAGAAAGAGGAACGACUGGAUCUACCUACACUGUAACAAAGGCAAAGACGAGGUGUCCAUGCUAGUGGCGGCGAAGACUUCAGGGGCCACCCCCUUGGUUAUAGCUUGCCGGAAUGGACACUAUGACGUUGCUGAGUACCUUAUAGAAAAAUGUCAUGCCGAUAUAGAACAGCCUGGGUCAGUAAUGUUCGACGGCGAAACCAUAGAGGGCGCGCCGCCGCUAUGGUGCGCGGCGGCAGCUGGGCAUCUCGAUAUCGUAGUAUUGCUAAUUAGGUACGGGGCCAAAGUCAACACCACCACACGUACCAACUCCACCCCCCUUAGGGCUGCUUGCUUCGACGGCCACAUGGACAUCGUCCUGUACCUUGUUCAGCACGGAGCCGACAUAGAAGUAGCUAAUAGGCAUGGUCACACCUGCUUGAUGAUCGCCUGUUAUAAGGGCCAUAUCAACAUAGCCAAAUAUUUACUUAGUCUAAAUGCCAGUGUUAAUAGGAAAAGUGUUAAGGGAAAUACGGCGUUGCACGAUUGCGCUGAAUCCGGAAGUCUGGAAAUUUUAAAAUUGUUACUUGAACACGGGGCGAAAAUGGACGUAGAUUCUUAUGGAAUGACACCAUUGAUGGCCGCCGCAGUGACGGGACAUAAUCAUAUAGUAGAAUAUUUAAUUAAGAUUCCUGAUCUAGUAUCUAGAAAAGAACGUAUCGACGCUAUAGAACUGUUAGGUGCAACUUGUGUGGAUAAGAAACGUGAUAUGAUAGGUGCUUUAGAAUUAUGGAGAAUAGCUUUACAUGAAAGGUACUUUUACGAUCCCAAACAUCCGAUCGCAAAACCACCAUCCCAAAAAGUACCUGCAUACGAUAACGUCCAAGAAGUAAAUGAUAUUGACAGCCUCGAUGACCUGCUAGCUGAUCCCGAUCAAAUGAGAAUGCAAGCGUUGGUCAUGCGAGAAAGGAUAUUGGGACCGGCCCAUCCUGAUACCAGUUAUUAUAUUCGUUAUAGGGGUGCAGUAUACGCAGAUGCAGGUAAGUUCAACAGAUGUAUCGAACUGUGGAAUUACGCUUUGGACAUGCAACAGUCGAUGUUGGAAAGGCUAAAUCCAAUGACGCAGAGUAGUCUAUUCAGCUUUACGGAAUUAUUCUCGUUUAUGAUGUGCGAAGAGGGCAAACACAGAGGAACGAGGGGACGAGUUGUGCCUUCCGUCGAAGUUGCGGAGAUAUUGAGGGUAUUUAAUAAGGCCGUUAGAGAAGUAGAAUUAGGAAGUAUAGCAAUAGACAGAAUGCCGAAUUGUAAGGGCGAUGUAAAUUAUUUAACUCGAGUUAUGGUAAUAACCCUCCAUCUGGCCUGUUUGCUGACUCGCCUUUUAGACCACCACACGAGCAGCGAAGAAGUUACCAAGGAAAUCCACCAGGCAAUCUACAAUUUAGUCAAACUGAAGGUUAAAGCAAAGUCUGGACGAACGAUGUUGCAUUUAGCUUGCUGUAGGGACGUAGCGAUUUUAGGAAGGUAUCCAGCUUGUCAAUUCCCGUCUCCACAUCUAGCAGAGGUAUUACUGAGAGUAGGCGCCGAUCCAAACCUAAAGGACGACGACGGCAACACCCCGCUCCACCUUACCGCCAUGGCCAAACCGUGUCCAUCGUCGGUGGUUCAGGUGCUGCUCGCCAACGGUGCUCACAUCGACACCGUGAACAAUGCCGGCCAAACGUUCGCCGAUCUGUUGAAGGGUCAGCCCGUGCACCAAUUGGUCAACACGGCGAAAUUCACGAGACUGAGUUGCGCAGCCGCGCGAGUGAUAAAACAGUUCAAAAUACCGUACAGGGGGAACGUGCCCUCUAAACUCGAGUCGUUCAUUGCGUGCCACUGAAUUGAUGAUGAUUUAACUGUUUUUGUGAUUUAAGUAAGUUCUUUUUUGUAAAUGUCGGUAAAUGCAUGUGAGUCGACUGGUUAGAGAUUUUUUUGAUUGAUUGGAAGGUGAAUUUACUGGGAAUAUGGGAUUAAAUUAAUAUAAAAUAUUUCUAUAUAUAAAAUUCUUCCGAAUAUUUGACAUGUAGCAUGGUUAAAGACUGUCUCAAAGUACACCAUCAUACUUUUCUCUGUUUAAGUGGACUUUUACUUACUAAAUUGAAAAAAAAGACAAUUUUUAAAGAAAAAACUAUGGUUACAUUUUUUUAUACAUCGUUAAUACCGUUUCGAGGUACACAAGAAAAAAUGAAUGGCACUCUUAGUUGUUUUUCGCCACUGCAUAGGUUGUCUUCCAAAAGAUGCAUUUUAAUUUGCGACACUUUUCUGCGUUCCUGUAACAUUUUUUUUAAUACCAACGGUAUUCCAUUCCUGAGACUUAAAAGUAAUAAAUCAACUUUUAAAGUGUUAAUUUUUCUGUAUUUUUAUGGCUUUUACACUCGAUUUUUUAACACGUUUGAGAAAACGUCUGUUUUGGGGAUGAAUUUACCCCUGUACUAAAACAGUGGGGCUUUUCAAAACUUUUUAGAGCUUCGACGAUAUUUUCCGACCAACUCUUUGCUAUUUCUGCAAUUUUUAUUACCAUAAGGUGCAUACGAUGCAUCACUAGAUUUUAAUUUGUUUGCCGAGGAACUGGGUAAUUCAGAAUUGAUUUCUGCUGUAAACUGAUUGCUUUUAAAUUAUCUUUUAAUGUUAUGCUUAUUUCGAUGCGACCCCUUACUUCAACUGCCUUUUAAAUUACGACCAGAUCCAGACAUUUGGGACCGUUCAAGUAUUACGCAACGGGGGGGGGGGGGUCAAAAUCUUCAAAAAUUGCGUUACGUAAUCGUUAAACGCCCACUACAGUGCGUUACGUAGGGGGGAGGGGGGUCAAAAAUCGCGUUACGUAAUACUUGAACGCUCUCUUUUUCGAAUUUUUAAAACAAUAAUUUUCGAUAAAUUUCAACAAUGUAAAUAACACGUCGUCACUUUAUAAGUUUUAGAACCCAACUGUCCAGUUGCAGCUGCACAGGUCAGGAGUCGCGCACGUUGUUAUAUACAAACUAGUCUUAGCUCAGAUAGGUGCCGUUAUAAAUACAGCUAUAACUUCGUUUCUACUUCGAAUAUCUUAAUAAAAUUUUAGAACUGUAUUUGUAUAAUAAAAAAAAACAAAAAUCGAUCUUUUAAAUCAGAAAGUAAAGGUAUCCUUAAAUAGCGAAUAGCAAGAUGUUGUACUUUUGUGACUGACAAUUUUAAAUAUUUGACCAAGAAAAAAAUUAGUCUAUAGAAAUCCUUGCAAAGCCAUUUGAAAAUAGGACGUUUUUACUUCUUUAAUUGUACCCUUGUCUUCUGUAUUGACAAUUAUCUCUUUUUUUAUAACUUGAUAAUACUUCUCGAUCACAUAAUCUCUAAAAUUUAUAAUUUUCUGUGGAAAUAAUAACAUUCAUGUGUAAAAAAUUAACCUCUAUUUAAAAAAAAAUUAAUCUUUGUUUACCGUUUUUACUUAAAAGGCCGAAAAUUGUUGCUUCUUUUUGAGAAGAUGUUUGAUCUGUGGACACCUUAAAAAUGACUUCAAAAUUGUGUUCAAUAUGUUUAAAAAAUUUUUUAACUGCAGGGGCGUCAUUUGAAAUUUUGAUUGGGGAAGGGGAAGCAUUAUAUAUAAAAUACAUUAUAAUAUUAUAUAUUAUAUGAUGUAAUGAUGAAAAUUGAUGUAAUUUUUGUAAAUUGCAGUCAUUUUCAGGGUCCCCCCUGACCCUAUCAAAUGACGCCCCUGCACUUUUUACAUUUAUGUUCGUUUGGUUUCGUUUUGUUUUCGGACACUGAAAAGGCUGGGUCAGUAGCGACCCCACGUUGUGGUUCUAGGGUUAAUUUUGUAGAAACUAUCUGAUUUCCCUACUCUUCAUCCUCAAUUUUCUACUUUUGGCAAAAUCAGCGAAAAAAUCUAGGAAAAAUUAAUAAACAAUCACGUGAAAUAUUAAUUUUUAUGUAUAAUGUUUAAUCCCAUCAAACUAAAUUAUAAUACGAAGCAAAAUCAAAAAACAUUUUAACCAGAUUGGACACGACUUUCGUUUUGUUAUAAAAUAUAGACUUUUUGAAGAAAAGUGCAUAUAUUUGUUGAACAUCGUAAGGUUCAGAAUUUCUUAGUUUCUGGGCUAAUUUUUGUGUUUUAUUUUGAAAAAAAAAACUUGUUAAUGUUUAAAAAUAGUAAUUUUACAGAAUGUGGCAUGUAUAUAUUCAGAUGAAAAUAACAAGAUGGGUACCUAUAGUAAACGCAGAACUGUUAUAAUUCGUUUAUAUCUCUAUUAGAAAUGUUUUACAUUGAACGACGAACAGAUACCGCCUCCACUAAUAUUAACUAGUGAUGGUACUCACUAUGUAUCUUUGGUCGCGGUAAAUAUUUUCUUUUGAAAAUUUUACUGUGGCAUCUCUGAAGAAUUUUGAUAACAGUGAGAUUUGUCCGAGAGGUUUAUACAAAUUAAAAAAGGAGUUGCUAAUUUUUAAACAUUUUGUCGUCAGUUCUCGUUAGUUUCAUGUUUGCUCAUAAAAGUCGGGUAACAAACUUUUUAGUUUAUAAUUUUAAUCAACACAGCAUUAAAACAUAUGUUAUGAAGAAGUUUUCUGGAAAAUCUCAAGUCAAAAUAUGCAAUAGUAAAAAAGUUAUGUGAUCUUAUAGACAAGUGGCAUUCUCCAAAAAAAAAACGCUUAUUUCUCGAGAUACGGAGCACAGUGUGGUAAAUGGCUAAUUUUGGUCUUACUUUAUGUUUUUGAUGGUGCUGAAAACGAAAAUGAGGUUUAUUUUGAAUUUUAGAUGGAGAACAUUGUCAAAAUCGCAAUUUUACCAUAAAAAAAAUGAAAUCACGUUUUUCUUAAAAUUAAAAGUUGCACCAUUUUUUUUUUCUAUAAAACGUAAAACCCUAAACUUAAUUAAUAAGUUAAAUUUCAAAUUUUGUCACUCAACUUUUGCGAUUAAACUUUGCAAUUCGGGAAUCUGCAUCUUUUACUUUAAACAAUUCAUAAUUUUUAUUAUAAUAAGAUAGAGAGAUUGAAACUAGUCCCAUUAUCUUCAGAAAGGUGAGAAAUAUAUACUAGAAAAAUGUCAGAAAAUAUAAAAUAUUAAAAUGGAACAAUGUAAAAUUGCGAUUUUGACAAUGUUCCUCCACGUAAAAUUCAAAAUGAACUUAAUUUUCGUUUUCAGCAACAUCAAAAACAUAAAGUAUGACCAAAAUUAGCCAUUCUCCACACCGUGGUCACUAUCUCGAGAAAUAAGCUUCUUUUGGGGUGUGCCGCUCGUCUAAGUCACAUAACUUUUUUCCUAUUGCAUAUUUUGACUUAAAAUUUUCCAGAAAACUUCUUCAUGAAUUAUAUUUUAUUGCUGUGGUGGUUAAAAUUAUAAACUAAAAAGUUUGUGCACUCAACUGUUUUAAGUAAAUAUGAAACUAACGAAAUUUGACGACAAAAUGUUAAAAAAUUAACAACUUCUCUUUUAAUUUGUUUAAACAUUUUGGACAAAUCUCAUUGUUAUCUAAAUACUUCAAAGCUGACAUGGUAACAUUUUCAAAAUGAAAUAUUUACAUCGACCGAUACAGCGAGCUAAAGUUGAAAAAUCAUCAAAAUUGAUUUUUCGCAUUUGUGCAUAAAAUUUGAUUUUUAACAUGUUCCACCAAUUCUAGAUAAAAAUAAACUUCAUAUUCGUAUUCAGCGACCUCGAAAACAUAAAGAAUGACCAAAAUUGGUCAUUCACCUUAAAGUUGAUUUUCGUGGUCGGUAUAACGUAAUUUUAGGGGUUGCUGCCGCUCGCCUAUUAGACGUGAUAGUGACUAGGAUCGAUCCCCAUUGCAGCCAGAAAUUUCUCAAAUGUCGUAAUGUCAAAUGGAAUAUAAAAUCCCAAUUCGAUUUUCGACUUCCAAUUGGAAAAGAAUGUACAACAUGAGGAGACGAGAAGGGAAACAAGGAGUAUAUUGACUUUUAAGCGCCUACCAAGCUCUAAUUAUAUGUACCAGUACUCCUUGAUCUACUUUACCGCAAAGAUAAUGACACAAACUAAUAAGAAUUCUAAGAAAAUAGAAGAAUCGUAUAAAUAUUUUCAAAAAUCGUAACCGAACGGAAAACACAGGUACAGUUGAAUAAGAGCAUAUAAAAAAGGAAGAGGAAAAUAAUAUGUAAAACAUAAAUUGCAUAGAGUUAACACAUUAAACUAACUAAGACAGUUCAUCAGUCUGACAAAAUGAGGCUAAAACACAUAAAUACGAACUUUGAUCACAAAUCCCAAAGAAGACAACAAAUCAAUAAGUUAUAGAUUUGUAAGAGAGUCUAUCGGUAACACCAAUAACAAAGUAGUAAACUAUAUGUUAAUUCUGACCUAUACUUCGUUCGCUUCCAAGGUAAGCUAAGACGCUUGUUCGUUGGGUUUGUCGUAUCGUCGCAGCUUGUCGUUGGUUAGAAGUUAAUUAAAAUUAAUUAGAAAUUAAUUUCUAACCAAUGACAAGCUGCAAUGACACGACAAAUCCACUAAUCAGGCUACUGGAGCAUUGUCCCUCAAUAUUUAACGCUAGCUCAUCAAAAAUAUCUCACGUUACAUAAUAGUUCUACGUUUGCUACUGUAAUUAUGAGUACUUUUUAUUUAUUAGUCUUUUCAACUAAAUCUAAAACGCCACAAUUUGUAGUGUAGUGACUUCCAAUAAUUGUAUAUUAAUUAUUUGAACAAACAAGUAGUGUUUAAAAUGCCAGUUAACUAUUUUUCUUCUCGGGUACAAAAUAGUAGAUUUUCAAUUGCUACCUAGUAUAAAAAUAAUAAGAGUCAUUUAUUAAUAACGAAUAAAGAACUUAUUACUAUCAGAAAUCACGAUAUAUACCGAAAUAGGUCUCUCCCAUUUUGUGUUGGUUGUUACAAAAAAAAAUAAGAUCGAGAGAUGUUACUGAAUAAAUAAAAUGAACAUUAAUAAUUAAUAUACUCUAUAAUACAAAAUACAAAGUUCAGUUAAUCUCUCUUUGUCUUAUCUCAGGGGUUCACAGUUGGUUCACAGAGGGGGAUCCUGGAUGAUUCUGAGCAUUAAAACAACCUAUAGAUUGAUAUGAACAUUUAUUUAAACAUAAAUCAAAACAUAAAAUGAAACAAAAUAGGGGAAUUGUAUCAGAAUAUAAGGAAAAUGUAAUGACUAUUGAAACUAUUAAAUACAAAAUAUUGUUAAGACUUAAAAGACCUAACUUAUCACAUACAAUACACCCUGAUGAAUAAAAUGUACCUACGUUCAGCAAGAAUCAGAUAUGUACAGUAAAUAUACUAUAUUAGUAUGUAUUAUUAUCAGAUAUUGUUAAUAAUUAAUACCAUGAAGUGUCAAAUACCUACUUCUUGGAAGUCUACCUGUGGAAUUAAUGAAGUACAAUAAAUAUACCCUGUAUUCACUCUGUUAAUAGAUUAAUAUCCUCGUAUAGCGCUAUAUUCAGGUGUACAAUGAGGGUAACAGGAAGGACUUAGAUCUGAACAAAAUGGUAGGUAUAGACACAGUAUAGGAUAUAUGGAAUAUAUCCUAUAAGAGGUGAUAUUGUUAAUACUGACUUCCUCUUCUUGCUUACGGGUCUUGUAGAUAUAUAUUCUAGAUGUGGUGACUGGUUACUACUACAGGUGAUAUGUACUACUGUUGCCAGUCACUAGCACUAGAUAGUGGUUGCUAGGGGGCCACUAGCUGUGUCCUCAAGAAGUUGGCCUACCAAGGAUAGAAAAUAGGGAGUCAGUAGAGACUAGACAGUAGAAACACAAGAUACUAUAGAAAUAAUAAUAGGUUUAAUGAUAGUUACCUCUGUUGUUAUGGGGCCACAAGGAGGGGUUGUCACAGGAACUUUCCUCGACCGCGAAUGAUGGACAAGUCUAGGAAAGACACAGGACAUUAGUCCAAGCGUACAACAACAACGUAUAAUCUUCUAAAAUAUUCACGUGUCCCAAGCUGAGGUUAUGUCUACUCUGAGAACUAAAUUAAACGUCCAUCAGCACAACAAAAUAUUUACAGCUUAAAUCCGUCACUGACACAAGCCCUUCAAUUGACGAUGAGUUUUCAUAAACUCAGCUGAAUUUUCAAUGAUGGAAACGGAUUAGAAAAAUCCCACACUUUUAAUCUGACCUCCUCUCAGAUCAACCAAAGACAGGAUCUCAUCCGUCUUCCCUUAUGUCAUUCGAUUCUAAAACGAACGGAACCACGGUUGAUUUAGUCACGUGACAAGGACCUAUACAAGGACUGUGAGCGAGGAAGAGAUAGCAGCACACACAUUUCUACGUUCUGACAUUCCUAAAACAGAACCAUUUUGCGAACGAACCAACUAUCUCAUAGCAAUUAGCAUAGGCGUAACCAGGGGGGUUUUGAAGUAUUUAAAUGAUUUGUGAAAAACCGUAACAUGGUGGUCGUCCUGUGCUGCAAGAAAUUAUUCUUAUGGCCCUUAUGAUUGGCACAAGUCAGAGUCGAAACUAUCAAACAAUUUCUGAUUCAUCGUAUUCCACAAUAUCUCAAUAACAAUAACAUUAAGAUCUGGACUGUUCGAAGACCAUGAGAGGACUUUAAUGUUAUUGUCUUCAAACCAUUUUCUCGUUGUUUUAGCCGUAUGGCAUGCAGCACCGUACUUCUGGUAUAUAAAAUUCAAGUCUUCUACAAUUGAUUGAUACUUUGCACCCUCAAAAUCAUAAUUACUUUGGGAAACUUCACAGUUCUUUAAGGCAAUCUUUAUGAAAUACUUCAUUUCCAUAAAAACAUAUUCCCCGACUAACUAGAGCUCUGAAAUUUUCAGAAUAGCUCAGAGCUCGAUGACAAUGCAAUAUUCAACAGCUUUAACAAAAGUGCAUUGAGUUUUCUUAUUUCAAAAAAUCAUAGUUAUUUUAAUAGUGUUGUACUAGAACUUAUAUGCCUUAUCUACAUACCUAACAUCCAAUAUGGUCUAGUGGCUAAGAUAUAUCUGGCUUUCGCCCAGAGGCUCGGAUUCGAUUCCCGGUAUCGGAAAUCCUUUUUGUUUUUAAAUUGACAUUUUAAUUUGAAAAAUAUUUAUUUUUUUUAUAUUGUAUCCUAUCAAUUAUAAUAUAAUACAAACGUGGUACAUAUUAUAAAAAGUUCCUUUUUAUAAAAUUGUAAUUAUUUUCACUUCUGAUAACCAGUUUUCGAAAGUCCCCUGAAUAUUACCCUGGACCAGUCAUCAAAGGUCUUAUCAGUUCGAAAGAUGUGUCUUAUCAGUUGUAACAUUACAGUCACAAAGACAAUAAGUUGUAAUAAUAAAAACGAUAAGUGUUUAUGAAAUGAACUAUGUCACGAAAAAAAAUAUGCAUUUUUAUUAUUUUUAUACCUAGGUAGUAGCAAAAUCCCUUUAGAUUAAACCCUAUAUUCAUGAUCAACCCCUAUUGAUAUAAAAGUAGAUCAGCUUGUAUCAUACAGUUAAAAUCCCGACGAAAUUGCUUCACCUAUAGUCUUUUAUUUUAUUACUGCCCUAAAGAAACUGCUGAAGCAUUUGAAUCGAAAUAAAAUGUGAUAUAAUUGUACUAUUUACAAAAAAUAAUAUGCACAGAUAUCGGCAAAUAUUUUUGACUGUCUCUGUCUGUUGAUAUUCUUGUAAGUAAAUUAUUAAAAAAAAGAAGUCGUACAAAAAUUACUGAAUGUUUUAAAAUUAGAUCAAUAUUGGUACUUUAAUUUAAUUCUAGAGUACAGUUACUUCUUAGAGAGUUUUUUAAAAGUCCCAAGUUUUUGUUUUGAGCAAAAACUUUAAGAAAACUUUUACUUUUACUUCCGUUUAGUAUUGUUCUGAAGCUAUUUAUUUGUGGCAUUUAUGUAAUUUAUUAUUCUAAUUAAGAAAUAAGCCACAAUUUAACUUGAAAAAUGAUUUUAUUAACGUUUCGACUUCCACUUCGGACGUCGUUCAUUUUGACAACGACGUCCGAAAUGGAAGUCGAAACGUUAAUAAAAUCAUUUUCCGUUUAGUAACCUAGAAGAAAUCGUUAGGUCGAAAUCGAUUGUUAAAUCAGUAAAUUGUUAUUUUUUAUGGAAUAAAGAAAUAAAAUUAAUGCAGACUGAAACGAAAACAACAAAAUGUUUCUUCAAGCUUAUUACAUCUAUUAUUUUGUUUUGGGAGGGGAAUUCAUUGCUCACUGAACAUAUCAGCAAAAAAUCAGUUUAUAACGUUCUACGACGUCUUACGACUCCCAAUUGCCAUAACGUUACACAUGUCUUCGCUCAAGACUCUUUCUCUAAUUUCCCUAUGAAUUACUUCUGUCCGACUUUUCCUAGGUCUUCCUCUUUUCCGCCGUCCUUUUGGUGCCCACCAUAGUACUGGCUUGGGUAAUCUUUCGUCUUCCAAUACGUUGUACGUGGCCAAACCAUCUUAGUUGCUUUGUUUUAUAUCGUCAAUUAUAGUAUGUGUGGCCACACGCUUGAAUUACUAUUUUACCAUUUUUUUAAUUGCUAAUUUUAAAUAUUAACUUUCCUUUCUAAACGAAAUAAUAUGGGUCAUUUAAAAUUCACAAGUGUUUCGUUCCUAAUAUACAAACCAUAUGCAUAGAAGGGCCUGUUAAGUUUUAAGAAACGAAAUAUAUCCCUAUUUCAGGUAACAUGCCUUUGCAGUUUUAAAAACACCAGAUCUAAUAAAUUGUCGCCUGUCUGGCCAUAUGGUAGAACCACAUAACGACAGAUUAGUGUUUGUGGUCUAGUUCAGUCGAUACACAGCUGGCAGUCCGGUCAGUCAUAAAACCCUCGCUCGAAAAAAGAAUAACAAACCCUUACGAAAUAUAAGCAAAGCACGCCUUUUUACCAAAAUAAAUAAAUAUAAUAUUGACUGUUGUUUUUACAUUUAUUUUAAUUUCAUUUAAUUGUUUCCGUGGUCAAUAAGAUCACACACGCAACCACCACAUCACGGAACAUAUGCUUUACAUCCAUUAUCUCCAAUAUUCUUGUAUUUCUGAUUUAAUCUCUUCUUGAUAUACCAGCAGCUCUUCUCCAGAAAUCCAUUUCAGUUGUUCUGAGCAGAAGAUGAAAAAUCAUUUUCUUGGAAUGCCAUAGCGCUUCUAUCACUGAUCAUUUUUUUCUGGAAUAGGAUCAACGAUUUUACAAAAUAAUGUAAGCAAUAGAGUUUAAAAGGGUUUAUUUUACUGUUGGCUUUCUACUGAGUUCGUUGAGUACUUGAGAAGCCAACAGCUCACCUUACUCUUAAAAAAAAACUACCUGCAAGGGUAGAAAAAAGUCAAAAAUUGCCUAAAAUGAGUCGAUCUAAAUCUGGAAAUCGAUUAUUAAUAAGUUUUAAUUGUUGCAUGCUCAAAAAACUAGUUUUCUCCGUAGUUUAACAGUCCUUUGGGGAUCUAUGAGUCGUUUUGGUCUACCAGACUUCUUUUUUAGUAUUCUUAUUUUCUGUCUAAACCCUUUUCAUUUUUUAUUAUAUCCAUUUUUCUAAUUGUUUUCAGUGUUUUUAACAUAUAUAGUUAUAAAUUAAAAAGGGUAGUUCCCUGGGUUGGCUGUAUACCAUAUAGUUAAACAAACUCUAACAUGAAGUAAAACCACUUCUACAGUCGGAAAAAUGAAAGAAUACCCAUGAACGAUCACAUCAAUCACUUAUUUUGUAUUUGCUGUAUUUUUCUAUAAAUAACGUUUGUUAUAGAAAAAAACAGAAAAUACAAAAUAAAUGAUUGAUGUGAUCAUUCAUGGGUAUUCUUUCAUUUUUUGGACUGUAUGUAAUAGGUAUAAUUUACUAAAAUCUUAAAAAAUUCCAAUGGAUUGAAUAAAAUAUGUUCAGAACGAACGUUUUCGGACCUAUCAGUCCAUCAUCAGUGAACUCAUAUACUUGCUAACUAGCCGCAGAACCAAACAAUGGUUGUAAUUAUAAUUCAGUCUACAUUAUAAUGUUGUAAAAUUGAAAAGGCUAAACGCCGAUGUUAAUAGAUAACCUCUGGGUACAUGGUCUAUGUUCCCAUCGGCGUUUAGCCUUUUCAAUUUUACAACAUUAUAAUGUAGAUUGAAUUAUAAUUACAACCAUUGUUUGGUUCUGAGGCUAGUUAGCAAGUAUAUGAAUUCACUGAUGAUGGACUGAUAGGUUCGAAAACGUUCGUUCUGAACAUAUUUUAUUCAAUCCAUUGAGAUUUUUUAAGAUUUUAGUAAAUUAUACCUAUUACUAUUACAUAGAAGUGGUUUUACUUCAUGUUAGAGUUUGUUUAUAUAUAGUUAUCGUUUUUCCCACUAAUGUCUUUCCGGGGUGUACCUAGAACAUUUUUUGGGCCACAAUAAUUCUCCAUUCGUUUUAUGUCCUCUCACCAACGAUUUCUAUUUAAAGGAAUGAGAAGUCCCAGAUCCGUAAAUCUGAAAAUUCUCGUGGAACCAAUUUCUGGCUACUUCCUUUAUUUCUGCCUUUUACAAUUUAUAAGACAAGGAGACGACGAAUAAAGAAGACGAAAGGGACUUUACAAUAUGCAAUCACAUUCCAUCUACUCGUCUAGGAAUAAUUCCAGCGAAAGUUGCGACCCCACGAAUGGGAGCCAUUUAUAUAGCCCGCCUAGACACGUUAAAUUAAAUAAACAAAAAAAUAUAUUCAAACAGUCUAGUUUCCUAAACAGGUGCAAAAUUUAUGUAGGUCAUAGGCAUGAUGUUCUUGAUGCUACUUUUUGGGAUUCCCCGGUAAGCUACGGUCUUCAGAGAUUAAAGGGGUGGGUUUUUAAAAUAACAAUUAUUAUUAAAAGAUAUUAUUGGGCGCCAUUAAUAAAUCAAAAUAAAAUUACUGCAAUGUGCUUAUCCAAAAUUAAAGAAAUGUAAAUAAUGUUCACUUGAACAUAGCAAAAUUUUGGUUUAAAAAAAUGAGUUUUUAUUUUAUUAUAAAGUUGGGAAACUCGCUCCGCGAACUUGUAUUAAUUUCUUCUUAAGAACAACAUAACGAAACUGUUCCUUCUAAUACGCGGAACUAGACACAAAACAUACUAUCGUGGUAUUCACUGUAACCAACAUUUGUUUUCUCACCAAGAAAACAGACUAAAUAGAUUGGAGUUCACUCCAUCUGGUAACUCAACUUGUCUUACAGACAAUAAACCAAAACUGUCUCGC
rnacentral:misc_RNA from 1 species